rnacentral:rRNA from 1 species
GACGAACGCUGGCGGCGUGCUUAACACAUGCAAGUCGAGCGGAGCGGCGAACGGGUGAGUAACGCGUGAGUAACUGCCCCCCUCCCUGGGGUAAAAGUUGGAAACGGCUGCCAAUACCCGAUAGUGGGGGAUGAAUCGCGGCCUAUCGGCUUGUUGGUGGGGUAGUGGCAGACCAAGGCGACGACGGGUAGCCGGCCUGAGGGGGCGAACGGCCACAUUGGGCUGAGAGACGGCCCAAACUCCUACGGGAGGCAGCAGGGGGGAAUAUGGCACAGUGGGGGAGACCCUGAUGCAGAGACGCCGCGUGCGGGAGGACGGCCUUCGGGUUGUAAACCGCUUUCAGCCAUGACGCGGUAGUGGCAGAAGAAGCACCGGCUAACUACGUGCCAGCAGCCGCGGUAAUUC